CGCCAGCGCGGGAGGAGGAUGAGGGAGAUGAAGCAGCGCAGGAAGAAGGAGCGCACGUGGGCCGAGGCCGCCCGCCUGGUGCUGGAAAACUACUCGGAUGCUCCAAUGACCCCAAAGCAGAUUCUGCAGGUCAUAGAGGCUGAAGGACUGAAGGAAAUGAGUGGCACCUCUCCCCUGGCCUGCCUCAACGCCAUGCUCCAUUCCAAUUCCAGGGGAGGCGAUGGGCUCUUCUACAAACUGCCUGGACGGAUCAGCCUGUUCACCCUGAAGAAGGAUGCCCUGCAGUGGUCUCGGAACCUGUCUGUGCCAGAAGGGGAUGAACUGGAGGAUACAGCAGAUGCAGAAAGCUGCGAGUCCAACGAAACAAGCACUGUGAGUGGUGACAAUGAUGGUAAGUGUCUAAUAACAUUCAUCUUAAGCUGCAAGUAUCCACUUCUGUUUUUGGCUGAGGGCUCGUCUGUUUCAGUGUCCCUUGAUGAAACCUCCUCCAACGCCUCCUGUUCCACCGAAUCUCAGAGCAAGGGACCCUCUACUGCCAGGGAGAGCAACAGAACAGCCUCACAGACAACCAAACAAAAGAGAAAGACAGGUGUCAUGUUGCCACGUGUUGUCUUAACGCCACUGAAAGUAAAUGGGGCACACAUGGAGUCUGCAUCUGGCUUCACAGGAAGGCAUGCUGAUGGGGAGAGCAGCAGCACAUCCAGCAGCAGCAGCAGCUCUUUGGCUCUGUGCAGUGCCACCUUGCGCAGCAGAACAGAAAUAAACAGGGAUCCUCCACAGCUGCUCAGAGGAAUCCGAAAGCCCACAGCUGGGCAAAUGAAACGAAACAGGGGUGAGGAUAUUGACUUUGAAACGCCUGGUUCCAUUCUUGUCAACACAAACCUGCGGGCUCUGAUAAACUCCAGGACCUUUAAUGCACUCCCAUCGCACUUCCAGCAGCAGCUGCUUUACCUCCUUCCAGAAGUCGAUAGGCAGGUUGGGGCUGAUGGGCUGAUGCGUCUCAGUGGCAGCGCUCUGAAUAAUGAAUUCUUCACCCAUGCUGCUCAGAGCUGGAGGGAACGCCUGGCUGACGGUGAAUUCACACAUGAAAUGCAAGUUCGAAUUCGGCAGGAGAUGGAGAAGGAGAAGAGAGUGGAGCAGUGGAAGGAGAAGUUCUUUGAGGACUACUAUGGACAAAAGUUGGGCUUGACCCAAGAAGAAUCCCAGGAGCAGAAUUUGGUGCAAGAAGAUGCCGAGAACAGGACAGCUCUGUCUGUGAAAGGAGAAAGCAGGCUGCCACGCGGUCCCUCCACGCGGCAGAGGGAUGGGCACUUCAAGAAGCGCUCCAGGGCCGACCUGCGAUGCAGAGCCAGGAGGAGCCUGUACAAAUUGCGUGAUUCUGAGCAAAAAGAGGCUUCCAAAGACACUGCUUCUGUGGGACCGGAUUCCUCUCUUCAUAAAGACACAAAGUCUGAGGUGGAUCAGAAGAAAGAUGACCUGACAAGUGCUUCUGCUGCAGUGCUGAAGCCAGAGAACUCAGAAUCGCAUCUCUCUCCAGAGACUUCCAAACUGCACAGUAAAUCGGAAGAUCUGUCAUUGGCAGCUGCAAACAGGAUUCCCUGUUUGUCCCAGGAGAGCCCUGCUCGGGAACCAAAGGACCAGAAGAGGAAAUGCUUUGAGGAGGCUGCCUCUGCCUCCUUCCCCGAAAAGAAGCCCCGGCUUGAAGAUCGUCAGUCCUUUCGUAACACAAUUGAAAGUGUUCACUCAGAAAAGCCACAACCUACUAAAGAGGAGCCAAAAGUCCCACCCAUCCGGAUUCAACUUUCACGUAUUAAACCACCCUGGGUGGUUAAAGGUCAGCCAGCUUACCAGAUAUGCCCCAGGAUCAUCCCCAACACGGAGCCCUCCGCCCGGGGCAGGAGCGGGGCCAGAACUCUCGCAGACAUUAAGGCCCGUGCUCUGCAGGCCCGAGCCCAGCGAGAAGCUGCUGCCGCCGCCAUUGGUGGUGGGGGCGGCCCCGGCGGAGGGAGAAACUCUGAGGGGGGUGGAGGAGAACGCAGCAGCCAUCGCAGACGCAGAAGAUCAAAGAGAGCUCGGCGAAAGCGCUCGUCAGAUCUACAGCGAACACAACUACUCUCGGCUCUCCGUCUGAACGGAGAGAAGGCCAGCUCUGAGGCGGCCGCGCAGGCAGCCAGCACAAAUUCCUUUGCCUCCUCGAAACAAGACUCCUUUUCUUCGAAGGCUGAGGGAAGCGCUGUUCUGCAGUGCGCCGCGGGCGCUGGCUCAGGGGAAGCUCAGUCCGGCGAUGGCUCACCUGGAGGGCAGCGCUGUGAUGCUCUGAUGGUGUCGGCAUUGGACAGCACGGCUUUGGAGAGGCCACAGGAGAGCCCCGAGCAGCUCUUCUGCGAUGCCAGGACUGAAUCCUCAUCACGUGCUGCGUCGCAGGAGGGGCAGAGCACAGAGGUGACACACGUGGUUCCUCCCGCAGUUGAUCUGUCGUGUGCCCAGGCGCAGGGAGCUGAGAUGGGUCCUGCAGGAGGCAGGGUUGUGUCAGAACUCAGAGAUGUUGGUAUUCCCGCAGUACAUCCUUCUGAUGUAAAGGAGAAUUCCACCGGUCAUCCUGCUCUUCUGCCAGAAUUGCCAUCAGGUGGUAAAGAAUGCCACGAGCAGAACAUGAUAUCGAGAUUUAGAUUUAAUGGCUCUGAAACAACGUUAGUGGAACAGUGCUUGAAAAACUAUAGUGGUGACUCCAAAAUAGUGACUGCUGGAGCACAGGAAGGAGUGCCUGCACUGUGUAACUUCACACACCUGCAGGCAGGGAGAGAGAGUGAUGGCAAACUGAGCAAUGAGGAACAGAAUGCGGAAUCUCUGUUGAAAUCCUCUUUAUGUGAUGGCUUUGUUUCUCAGAGUAGGAUAGAUACCUCUGAAAAACUGAGGGAGAGGUGCCCUGGAACAGAAUCAGAAGACGAGUGCCAGCCGUUGAGGGAGACUGGAGAGUUCAAGGCAAAUGGAGAUGAUGAAGUACAGAGUACACACAGUGAAUCAACAGAUACUGCUUCGGAUUUUGAAGCUGACGUGGUUGAUGAGAAUGUGGAGAUGGAGAUGUGUUACAGAAACCUCAGCUGUAGGGAGGCGGCUAGGAAGGGCUCCUUCUGUCAGAGCAGCACUGAGGAAUGUGAUAAAAUUAGUUCAAAAUCAUCUCUGGAAGCAGGUGAUCCGCCCUGCGGUGUGGACUUCUCUUCAGUGGCCACAGUGAGCACUGCAGCUCCACCUCAGAGGUGGGGACUGCAUGCACCAUUGCCCCCAAAGCCCGAGAGGCCAUCAGGUUCUGCUCAGGCCAUGUCCUCUGAUGCCAGCAGCCCUUUGGUGAAGCAGCUGCUUAAGGGGAACCGUCUGCUGGAAGAGGUUCUCCCCGGGUCUCACGCCAACAUUGAGGUGGAAGGCGCGCAGCCGCCUCUCGACAAGCAGUCAGAAAGCCUCCCCGUGCCGAUGGAGAGAGGUGGCAAUUGCUAUUUUGGUAAAGAAUCUUGCCCAGAUGUGCAGAUAAAGACGAGUGCCCUAACCAGGAGUGAUGAGUUCCACCCAGUGAGAUCUUCUGUAGAUCCCCAGGAGAAGACACGUGGGUCAGGAGCAGCAUUGCCUGGAGUGGAGGGUAUGGAGAAUCAACCUGUUCCAGAAAAACAUUCCAAAAUUGGCUUAACCUUAAGCUGCCAAGACCAACUGGCAAAUGUGGCAAGUGCCUCUCAGAAGCCUGAAGACAUGAGCCCUCGGGAAAGAACGUUUUCUUCCUGUAGCUUUGAAGAGCAAAAAGAAUUGGCUAAGGUCCAUCGGGUGCCACAGCAUAACCCAUUAACAAAUGUCAUCGCAAAGCAAAGUCCUGAGAAGCCGAACCUGCCUCCAGAGCCUCCGUUUUUAUCUCCAAAUGUAGAUUCUCUUGGCCCAAAUCAGAUGGGGAAUGCAUCUGUCAAUCAAAAUUAUGUUGGAGUUCAAGGCAAAAAGCUCUUCGGUUCUGGUUUUCCUUGCAACCCCAGCGUUAGGCUGCAUCACUCAAGGGCUUCAGAUCAGGUGUCAGCCAUGGGAGCCUUGGCCCCGAGCAAACAGAUUUCUGUGACCAAAAGCUGUGCGUCUGCAGAAGGAAUGCCAGCUGCAAGGGAAGAGUGGACUUCGAAGCAGCACGGGAACACCCUGGGAGGAACAAAAAGUGAGAACGUGUUGGCGUGUGGCAGCCCAACCAAGAGCAGUGGGGAGAGGCAGAAGGAUGCAGCACCAAACCCUGCGGAGCUGAGGGAGCAUUCGCAGAGCGUUCCUGUGGCGAUGGACUUGCCGUUCCUGAAGCUUUCAAGGGAAGCAGGAAAAAGACACAAUCACCCUUUGGAGCCUUCCUCCAUACCCUCUCAGUUCAAUAUCAAGCAAGCGUUUUAUGGGAAGCUUUCUAAGCUGCAGCUGAAUUCCACCAGCUUUAAUUAUUCAUCCAGCGCUCCAGCUUUUCCCAGAAGCCUCGCUGGAAGCAUGAUGCAGCUCAGCCACAAAGCGAACUUUGCUGCAAACCACAACACGUCCCUUUCCGUGCAGAUGUUUGCCGACAGCAGCAGCGUUGAAGAAAUAUCCUUCAAGUGUUCGUGCAGCCUUAAAGCCAUGAUCAUGUGUAAAGGCUGCGGGGCGUUUUGUCACGAUGACUGUAUAGGACCCUCUAAGCUCUGUGUAUUGUGCCUUGUGGUGAGAUAAUAAAUUAUGGCCAUGGGACAGGUUGUAUAUUCAGUGUGCGUAUUUUGAUAACGACUGAUCCUAAACCUGUACACAGGAUACGGUUCUGUUUAUAGUAGAAAUGCUAUUAUACUUCGUUUCGGUGAGGAAAGUUGACUCGCCUCCCCACUGAAAUCGACAGUGCAAAACCCUUCCUUGCUCACGAUGACACUCCGAUUUCUGUGGGCUGUGCCCCACCGGAGCCAAUCCUUCUGCUUUGUGCUAUCGUGGACGUGCUGGCUGUGCCCUGGGAUGUGUGUGAAGCUGACACCUGGCUGGGAGGCAGUUUGCUGUGGCAUCCGUGGACCCUCCGGAGAGGAGACCUCUACAUCCAAAGGAACUGGAACAGGGUGCGUUCUAUUUCAGGGCUGCUCUAGGUUAGCCCCUACAGUCUUCCACUCUCCCCUUCUGCCAUCUCCGAGGUCGGUUGUGUGCUGAGCACAGCAGUGCAGGCAGGACGCAGGUGCCUCCGCGUGGUCUCCGGUGCCAAGGCUGGACGCGGUGAGCAGCGAAACGCUCUGCGGUUGGAGCUGCGAGAGGAAGAAUAGGCAGCACGUGGCAAGGGAAAACGGCUCCUGCCUGCAGGAUGUGCGGGGCUUUGGGUUGCCCAGCUGAACUCUGGCACCAGCUGAAGGCUGAGGCUGCUGCAGCCUCCUUGUAGCACGCGUCCGUGCAGGAAGGCUCUGAGAAGCGCAGUGCGUGGCCAGCAGCCGUCUGUGCAUUGCAGCCCUGCGGUGAGGACCUGACCGUGACAGCAUCUGACCACUUGCAAGUGUCUAGCUGUGCAUCUGUGUGACGAUCAUCUUAACAUUUAAAGCAGUGUUUUUUCAUUAUUAUUUUUUUUUUUAAUAUAUAUUUUCAUUCUUGGAUGUAUAAAGUGAAUUAUUUGGCUCCUGCAGGAAACGCUUUGGAAAGGAAUAAUGCAAAUGGUGAUGUUCUGUGUCUCAGUCCUGGCCUCGGUGCGUGGAUGUGCCGUGUGUGGUGAGCUCACGUGUCGGGGUUUUGGGGCUGCAAGGAAGGAAGCGCACGGCUGCACAGCGCCUGCCCUGGGUGCUGCCUCACCAUUCAUGCUGAACUGAUGCUCUGCUGCCUGCUAGGGGUCUGCAAACACCACUCCAGGUCUUUGCAAUCACCAAGCAGGGUCGUUGCUUAGGUGAGCUCCGAUGCUGUUAAAUAAUUGGAAGUCUGGGCUGUGUUAUGGGAACCCCGGGCCGGGCCUCGUGUGUGUGCCGUGAAACCUCAGCUGUGUGUGUGUGUGAAUGGCAGUCACUGCAUGAGGGCCUCCUGCUGCAGCCAGGGACAGGGCAGCUCUGGAGGUUCUACCUGCGUAGUGCUUGGAGAAAGGCGUUUUGGGGGUGCAAAGGUUUGUUGUACUCAGUGAAUAAAGCUGAUAAUGAAAAAUCAGGAGAUGGAGAGCUUUCCCCAAACCUUGAUGAAAGCUUCAUAGUUUCCCAACGAAACAAAAACAGAAAUAAAACCAGACGUCACAAAAUGAAUUUUGCCAGCAGAGAAGUUGAGGUCUGCGCUGCUCCCCGUGUGCCAGCGCUGCUCUGUUCCCCAUGGGCAGCACAGCCUCCAUGGCAGCUCUCUGCAGUGGCUUUGGCCCUUUUCUCUCUUUUCCAAAGACCCCAAUUCGAGGCUGUUGGGAGCUGAGCUCCCUGGGGUGAGAGCGGAGCAGAGAGCCCUUCUGUUAUACAGUGUUUAUUGAGCAAAUUCAGUCUUAUAUAUGAUAUACAGAUUCCAAAGGAAAAAAAAAAAAAAAAAAGGAUUCCACAUACGUAUGAAAUCAGUGCAUUUAGCAGUAAUACCAUGGAGAUAACAGCUCGAUUAACAGCUCAUUGGUCUUCGUUAAGUGAGGGGAACAGGGAGUGGGCCUGUGCUAAUCAUUCCACAAACAGAACAGAAUUAAGUUGCAUCACAUAUAUAAUAGACACACGUUCUAAGAAUUAAAAUAUUAAGCCACAUUUACUGGAAAAAUCCACAGUAUAUAACACAAAUAACUCUUAUCGAGCUCAUUGAGGAGGAAGUGCUCAUCUGCUUAAGAGCCACACGAAGUUGCAUAGGUGCCUAUCUGCAAAAAUAUCAUUUUGAAACGAACCCAUUGAUUAAGCAAUAAAGUGUCACCUUAGGAGCUGGAUGAAGUGCCGAAUGCGUUCUCACUGCCCCUCUGAAGGCGCUGCCAUCCCCCAGCCCUGGGCAGCGCUGCCAUCCCACCCCAUCCCACAUCCUGGGCGCUGAGCUCCAGCUCUGCCCACUGCUGUUCUCCCGUUCUGGAUGUGAUUCUGGCUCUCCUCGUGUUUUUGGGGGGCAGCUUCACGCCCGGGCCUGGAGGGAAUGGCGAAGCGUCAGCGCUGCCCUUGUGCCCGCUUGGAGCUCUGCUCGGCUGCAGCUUCACAUCGAUUCCCAUUUCAAAUC